UACCAGCACCCCGAGUGGUCGGGACGAUUAUUGGGCCUAAAGCAUCCGUAGCCGGUCCUGCAAGUCUUCCGUUAAAUCCAGCUGCUCAACAGAUGGGCUGCGGGGGAUACUACAUGGCUAGGAGGCGGGAGAGGCAAGCGGUACUUUAUGGGUAGGGGUAAAAUCCGUUGAUCCAUAGAAGACCACCAGUGGCGAAGGCGGCUUGCCAGAACGCGCUCGGACGGUGAGGGAU
rnacentral:rRNA from 1 species